rfam:Ipomoea nil DNA, scaffold: scaffold0684, cultivar: Tokyo-kokei standard.
GCUGGAAUAGCUCAGCUUGGCUAGAGCGUGUGGCUGUUAACCACAAGGUUGGAGGUUCAAGCCCUCCUUCUAGCG